GGGUAUCCUGGGAUGUGAGUAUAGCCCGCCCGCCCCUGUUCCCACACUGUCCCCAAGGCCCUACUGUUCCCUCAUUAACUUCUCCCAUCUGCAGCCUAUGAUCCUCAGCAGAUCUUCAAGUGCAAAGGGACCUUCGUGGGACACCAGGGCCCUGUCUGGUGUCUCUGUGUCUACUCCAUGGGUGACCUGCUCUUCAGUGGCUCUUCUGACAAGACGAUCAAGGUGUGGGACACGUGUACCACUUACAAGUGCCAAAAGACACUGGAAGGUCAUGACGGUAUUGUGCUGGCGCUCUGUAUCCAGGGGUGCAAACUGUACAGUGGGUCUGCAGACUGCACCAUCAUUGUAUGGGACAUCCAGAACCUGCAGAAGGUGAACACCAUCCGGGCCCAUGACAACCCUGUGUGCACACUGGUGUCUUCCCAUAACAUGCUCUUCAGUGGCUCCCUUAAAGCCAUCAAGGUAUAGGCAAGACAUGUGUGGGCAUGAGGGGGCUCCUGGGCCAAUGGAUGCCAUCCAUCCUAGCCCAGGCUCAUGGCCAUCCCUACAGGUCUGGGACAUCGUGGGCACUGAGCUAAAGUUGAAGAAGGAACUCACAGGCCUCAACCACUGGGUGCGGGCCUUGGUGGCAGCACAGAGCUAUCUGUACAGUGGCUCUUACCAGACAAUCAAGGUGUGCCAAGCCACCCCUGGUGGCAGGGACUUGCCCUCUGCUGUCCUUCCUAGGGUGUCCUAGAGCUUCUUCUGCCCUUUCCCUACCCUCCACCAUGCUCUGAGGCUGUCUCCUGGAUCCCUGAGGCCCAAGGUAAGCAAGUGCCUGGCCUGAGAUUAAGUGACACACUUUCCCCUAGAUCUGGGACAUUCGGACCCUUGACUGCAUCCAUGUCCUGCAGACAUCUGGUGGCAGUGUGUAUUCCAUUGCUGUGACGAAUCACCACAUUGUCUGUGGCACCUAUGAGAACCUCAUUCAUGUAUGGGACAUUGAAUCCAAAGAGCAGGUGCGGACCCUAACGGGCCAUGUGGGCACAGUAUAUGCCCUGGCAGUCAUUUCAACACCAGACCAGACCAAAGUCUUCAGCGCAUCCUAUGACCGCUCCCUCAGG
rnacentral:lncRNA from 1 species